UUGUAGUAGUAGGUCGGAGCUCGGAUGCGGGUCCGGUCGGUCGGGUCCUCUCCCAACCCAAGCCAAUCUAGCCAAGUCCAUCCCGUCCGGAACACCGGUGAGGUGUAGAGGAGUGACCGGCGAUUAUCACAGUGAUCUUUCUGGGGGGCGUGCAACCGAAGAAAACCCGUUGGGCGUGGAAAAAUUGCAAGGAAAGUUGCGCCGGCGCAAGGGAAAUCCUUUAAAUGUGUGUUUAGCCACAAAAGCGACGUGAGUUUGACCAACACAAUCGGAGGUCGGGGCGCCCGGGAAAGCCAUCCAUCCGCUUCCUCGAAAGAGUUGUGAUCCGUCGGCGUGACCUGUGUGACACUUUCAUUUGCCGGGUUGACGCCCCCUCGCAGUCCGUCCGGCAUCGAAGCCGAAAUUUAACGCCUGCUUAGCGCGUGGGAUCGCCAGAUGCCCUGGCCCGGGCAUCAUCAUCGAUGUAAACCACAUGUGCCGAACGCCCCUCAUAAUGAGCGCGACGGAUGCGAACACCCAACUCUGGUUUCUGGGCUCUGGAUUCUGGACCUAGCCCACAGCGUACUGCCAAUUGAAGUGGCACUAUGCCUGGGAAGCUGGCCUGCUCCGCCUGGACCACUUUAUUUAGUGUGUACUGGCUCUGCGGUCGCCUGCAACCGCCAGUCGGCCAACCACAACAACACCAAUCGAGGAACAGUUGAGGUCGCGGCAGCAACAACAACAAUCCGGCAUGGCCUCUGCCUCGGCCUGGCCCCCACCCCUCCGCCCACUUUCUACGCCUGUUGUUGUUGCUGUUGCUGCAGUGAGAGGCGUAGCUAAAAGCAGGGAACCUGUAUUUAGGGGCAUUGGCGAGAGCGAGAGGGAGCGAGCGAGCAACACCAGGCGCUGGCAAUGGGUGCGAUAAGGCAGGCAUUAGCAUACAAACAACAGUACAAAGCCAACGGCGCAGGAAGAGAAAGAGAGGAGCCAAAGAGCGGGCUCCACCAGAAGAGAGUGUGGAGUGGGAGAGCGUGUGGAGCUCGGAAUGAAACAUUUCGAAAUGUUUUAAGCUGUACAGUGGAAGAAAAUGUUGAUAUUCUUUGGAAAAUCUUUUGACCUAUAAAAAGUCUUGACUAUUUAAUGAAUUAGGUUUUUAGAACAGUAUGUGAUAACUAAACUAAAAAUAGUAAGUUUUGUUUUUUAUAACUAAUGAUUAUUGAGUAGUGUUCUUUGAAUUUAAAUUCCUUAUGUGGAAUUAAUAAUUGAAAAUAAAAAGACAAACUUUAAAUAA